rnacentral:rRNA from 1 species
CAGUAGCCGCGGUAAAACGGAGGGUGCAAGUGUUACUCGAAAUCACUGGGCGUAAAGGACGCGUAGGCGGAUUAUCAAGUCUCUUGUGAUAUCUAACGGCUUAACCGUUAAACUGCUUGGGAAACUGAUAAUCUAGAGUAAGGGAGAGGCAGAUGGAUUUCUUGGUGUAGGGGUAAAAUCCGUAGAUAUCAAGAAGAAUACCUAUUGCGAAGGCGAUCUGCUGGAACUUAACUGACGCUAAUGCGUGAAAGCGUGGGGAGCAAACAGGAUUAGAUACCCCCGUAGUCCCUGUCUCUUAUAA